rnacentral:rRNA from 1 species
UACGUAGGGGGCGAGCGUUGUCCGGAUUUACUGGGUGUAAAGGGCGUGUAGGCGGCUUGGAAAGUCCUUGGUGAAAUCUCCUGGCUCAACUGGGAGGGGUCCAGGGAGACUUCCAGGCUCGAGGGCAGUAGAGGAGAGUGGAAUUCCCGGUGUAGUGGUGAAAUACGUAGAUAUCGGGAGGAACACCAGUGGCGAAAGCGGCUCUCUGGGCUGUCCCUGACGCUGAGGCGCGAAAGCGUGGGGAGCAAACCGG